rnacentral:rRNA from 1 species
AGACCCGAAACCCGGUGAUCUAGCCAUGGGCAGGUUGAAGGUUGGGUAACACUAACUGGAGGACCGAACCGACUAAUGUUGAAAAAUUAGCGGAUGACCUGUGGCUGGGGGUGAAAGGCCAAUCAAACCGGGAGAUAGCUGGUUCUCCCCGAAAGCUAUUUAGGUAGCGCCUCGUGAAUUCAUCUCCGGGGGUAGAGCACUGUUUCGGCUAGGGGGCCAUCCCGGCUUACCAACCCGAUGCAAACUGCGAAUACCGGAGAAUGUUAUCACGGGAGACACACGGCGGGUGCUAACGUCCGUCGUGAAGAGGGAAACAACCCAGACCGCCAGCUAAGGUCCCAAAGUCAUGGUUAAGUGGGAAACGAUGUGGGAAGGCCCAGACAGCCAGGAUGUUGGCUUAGAAGCAGCCAUCAUUUAAAGAAAGCGUAAUAGCUCACUGGUCGAGUCGGCCUGCGCGGAAGAUGUAACGGGGCUAAACCAUGCACCGAAGCUGCGGCAGCGAACGUAUCACCCAAGACAACUUUACGGAGUUGACGAUUGACGGAGCGAAGCGACGUCAAAGCGUUCAUUAAAGUCGAGUUGGCUUAGGGAUACGUUCGUUGGGUAGGGGAGCGUUCUGUAAGCCUGUGAAGGUGUGUCGUGAGGCAUGCUGGAGGUAUCAGAAGUGCGAAUGCUGACAUAAGUAACGAUAAAGCGGGUGAAAAGCCCGCUCGCCGGAAGACCAAGGGUUCCUGUCCAACGUUAAUCGGGGCAGGGUGAGUCGACCCCUAAGGCGAGGCCGAAAGGCGUAGUCGAUGGGAAACGGGUUAAUAUUCCCGUACUUGGUGUUACUGCGAAGGGGGGACGGAGAAGGCUAUGUUGGCCGGGCGACGGUUGUCCCGGUUUAAGCGUGUAGGUGUGUGUUCCAGGUAAAUCCGGUUCACUUUAACACUGAGGCGUGACGACGAGGCACUACGGUGCUGAAGCAACAAAUGCCCUGCUUCCAGGAAAAGCCUCUAAGCAUCAGGUAACAUCAAAUCGUACCCCAAACCGACACAGGUGGUCAGGUAGAGAAUACCAAGGCGCUU